rnacentral:rRNA from 1 species
UGGGGAAUUUUGGACAAUGGGCGCAAGCCUGAUCCAGCAAUGCCGCGUGAGUGAAGAAGGCCUUCGGGUUGUAAAGCUCUUUUGUCAGGGAAGAAACGGUGUGGGCUAAUAUCCCGCACUAAUGACGGUACCUGAAGAAUAAGCACCGGCUAACUACGUGCCAGCAGCCGCGGUAAUACGUAGGGUGCAAGCGUUAAUCGGAAUUACUGGGCGUAAAGCGUGCGCAGGCGGUUUUGUAAGUCUGAUGUGAAAUCCCCGGGCUCAACCUGGGAAUUGCAUUGGAGACUGCAAGGCUAGAAUCUGGCAGAGGGGGGUAGAAUUCCACGUGUAGCAGUGAAAUGCGUAGAGAUGUGGAGGAACACCGAUGGCGAAGGCAGCCCCCUGGGUCAAGAUUGACGCUCAUGCACGAAAGCGUGGGGAGCAAACA